rnacentral:misc_RNA from 1 species
GAUGAAGAACGUAGUGAAAUGCGAUAAGUAAUGCGAAUUGCAGAAUUCAGUGAGUCAUCGAAUCUUUGAACGCACAUUGCGCCCUGUGGUAUUCCGCAGGGCAUGCCUGUUCGAGCGUCAUUUCAACCCUCAAGCUCUGCUUGGUGUUGGGCCCUGCCCGCUCGCGGCCGGCCCUAAAGACAGUGGCGGUGCCGUCUGGCUCUAAGCGUAGUACAUCUCUCGCUCUGGUGCCCGGCGGUGUCCUGCCAGAACCCCCCAACUCUGUGGUUGACCUCGGAUCAGGUAGGGAUACCCGCUGAACUUAAGCAUAUCAAUAACGGAGGA